GACGAACCACCCAAACGUUAUUCGGAAUCACUGGGCUUAAAGAGUGCGUAGGCGGCUCAGAAAGUAAGGUGUGAAAUCCCACAGCUCAACUGUGGAACUGCGCUUUAAACUACUGAGCUAGAGGGAGAUAGAGGUGAGCGGAACUGAUGGUGGAGCGGUGAAAUGCGUUGAUAUCAUCAGGAACACCGGAGGCGAAGGCGGCUCACUGGGUCUCUUCUGACGCUGAGGUACGAAAGCUAGGGGAGCGAACGGG
rnacentral:misc_RNA from 1 species